UACGGAGGGAGCUAGCGUUGUUCGGAAUUACUGGGCGUAAAGCGCGCGUAGGCGGCUUUGUAGGUUAGAGGUGAAAGCCCGGAGCUCAACUCCGGAACUGCCUUUAAAACUGCAUCGCUUGAAUCCAGGAGAGGUGAGUGGAAUUCCGAGUGUAGAGGUGAAAUUCGUAGAUAUUCGGAAGAACACCAGUGGCGAAGGCGGCUCACUGGACUGGUAUUGACGCUGAGGUGCGAAAGCGUGGGGAGCAAACAGG
rnacentral:rRNA from 1 species